AGGGUCUUGGUAAUUUGCUGAGGCUGGCCUUGAACUGGUGAUCCUCCUGCCUCAGCCUCCUUAGUAGCUGGGAUUACAGGUGUGCACCACUAUACCUGGCUACAUUUGCCUUUUUCUAGCACACUAGAAGAGUGCCUUGUGUAAGUGACUGAGUAAUAACCAGUGAACAGUGAGCAGGAACAAAGUGCUUCUGAAAGAAGGUCAUUAGUAACUAGCGAGCUUUCCCUGGAUGUGUUCCCCCCAGCAACAUUAGAGACCACCAAACCCAGUGGCGUGGCUCUAAGGUAAGGGUUAGCAGACCUAGACUGCACUUGGUGUGAGUAAGACACAUGCUUAGCUGUUCUGUUUCCAGAGGGUAGGAAUUAGUUGCAUGCCAGCUUGCCUUCCCUGGGUGACACUUCUCUGGAUUCUGUUCCUCUUCUCUUGGGCGGGGGGGCGAGAGACUCGUGGGCAGGAUCUGGAGCCGGGAGGUGAAGCAUCUGUUCUGCAUCCCGUGUCCGUUGUUACUGAUGGGCUGUAGCUGGACUGAGUUCCUUCGCUUCCUGGAGAGCCUCCUUCAGCUUCUGACUCCCGGGCCACGCGUGCAUGUUUAGCUCUGCCACAAGGGGCUCCAGCCUAGAGAUAAAGCCCCCACCUCACCCAGGUCAGCGGCAAUGAGAACAGACCCAGGUUUCCUUCAGUCUGUCCUGCUGGGCCACAGUUCUUGCUGAUGCUUGCUGUCCCCUCUUCAUAGCCAUCUCUUCCCUACCUGGCCACCUGGCUGCAAGAUGCAGCACUGGUUGUGAGACAGCAGCCUCAGAGAGACCAAUUCGUGAUAUUUGACAGAUAGAGGAAUAAAAGCAUGGACCCUUGUCACAUGGAUGAGCCUCCAAACAGAGGAUUGAGUGAUAAGAAGCCUUGUGGAAAAGAGAGCCCCAGAGGGUAAGAAGUCAUUUUGAACGAGAUCCCAGCUGAUUGCAGCCCAUGUGUAACCUCAGCUGACAACAUGUGGGCCCAGCUGGGCCUGGUUAGCCCACACAGUUGUAAAAAAUAAACCAAUG